GAUGAACGCUGGCGGCGUGCCUAAUACAUGCAAGUCGAGCGAACAGACGAGGAGCUUGCUCCUCUGACGUUAGCGGCGGACGGGUGAGUAACACGUGGAUAACCUACCUAUAAGACUGGGAUAACUUCGGGAAACCGGAGCUAAUACCGGAUAAUAUAAUGAACCGCAUGGUUCAAUAGUGAAAGACGGUUUUGCUGUCACUUAUAGAUGGAUCCGCGCCGCAUUAGCUAGUUGGUAAGGUAACGGCUUACCAAGGCGACGAUGCGUAGCCGACCUGAGAGGGUGAUCGGCCACACUGGAACUGAGACACGGUCCAGACUCCUACGGGAGGCAGCAGUAGGGAAUCUUCCGCAAUGGGCGAAAGCCUGACGGAGCAACGCCGCGUGAGUGAUGAAGGUCUUCGGAUCGUAAAACUCUGUUAUUAGGGAAGAACAAAUGUGUAAGUAACUAUGCACGUCUUGACGGUACCUAAUCAGAAAGCCGCGGCUAACUACGUG
rnacentral:rRNA from 1 species